GAUGAACGCUGGCGGCGUGCCUAAUACAUGCAAGUCGAGCGAACGGACGAGAAGCUUGCUUCUCUGAUGUUAGCGGCGGACGGGUGAGUAACACGUGGAUAACCUACCUAUCAGACUGGUAUAACUUCGGGACACCGGAGCUAAUACCGGAUAAUAUUUUGAACCGCAUGGUUCAAAAGUGAAAGACGGUCUUGCUGUCACUUAUAGAUGGAUCCGCGCUGCAUUAGCUAGUUGGUAAGGUAACGGCUUACCAAGGCAACGAUGCAUAGCCGACCUGAGAGGGUGAUCGGCCACACUGGAACUGAGACACGGUCAAGACUCCUAAGGGAGGCAGCAGUAGGGAAUCUUCCGCAAUGGGCGAAAGCCUGACGGAGCAACGCCGCGUGAGUGAUGAAGGUCUUCGGAUCGUAAAACUCUGUUAUUAGGGAAGAACAUAUGUGUAAGUAACUGUGCACAUCUUGACGGUACCUAAUCAGAAAGCCACGGCUAACUACGUG
rnacentral:rRNA from 1 species